GCUAUCAUUAUCCUCCGCCCACUUUCUGCCACCUCACUCCCUCCAUGUCAUAAUAAAGAAUUCCCUUCGCAUGCAUGACCCUUCUCUCAUCUCGAAAUUCCUCACGUCUGUGAUGAAACCAUUUGCCUUGUUGUUGCUUCAUUUCUUCGCAACUGGCUUAAUUCUCAAAGAUGGGAGUUUGAAUGUGUGAAAGACUGUAGCAUACCACAUGCAAUGCCUA
rnacentral:lncRNA from 1 species